rnacentral:siRNA from 1 species
UUGUUGGAUCCAGAUUCAGUU